rnacentral:rRNA from 1 species
CACUAAGUCACUUUGUCUUUAUGGCAAAUGUGAGAUGCAGUGUAUGGAAUGUCAAAUUUCUAGUAUGAGAAAUUAACGAUUUAAGUCCUUCUUAAAUGAGGCCAUUUACCCAAAGAGGGUGCCAGGCCCGUAUAACGUUAAUGAUUACUAGAUGGCAUUUCCAAAGAGUCGUGUUGCUUGAUAGUGCAGCACUAAGUGGGUGGUAAACUCCAUCUAAAACUAAAUAUAACCAUGAGACCGAUAGUAAACAAGUACCGUGAGGGAAAGUUGAAAAGAACUCUGAAUAGAGAGUUAAAUAGUACGUGAAACUGCUUAGAGGUUAAGCCCGAUGAACCUGAAUAUCCAUUAUGGAAAAUUCAUCAUUAUGAUUUUAAUAUUUAUAAUAUUAUAAUAAUGGUGUGCAUUUUUUCUAUAAAGGACAUUGUAAUCUAUUAACAUACAUUAAUUUAUCAUAAGAUCAUUUGCGUAUGUUUAUUCAAAUUAUUUUGCUUGCAAUUUAAUAUCGAAUAAAUGCUUUUGAUUUGAUAAAGUGUUGAUAGAUUUAUUAUAUACAGUGCUUAAAUAUUUAUAUUUUAUAAUAGCAUAUUAAUCAAUGAUUUUUAUGUUCAUUAUAUGCACUUGUAUGAUUAACAAUGCGAAAGAUUCAGGAUACCUUCGGGACCCGUCUUGAAACACGGACCAAGGAGUCUAACAUAUUUGCAAGUUAUUGGGAAUAAAAACCUAAUAGCGAAAUUAACAUAACUUAUUUAAUGGGAUUAGUUUUUAGCCUAUUUAUAGUCUAUUAAUUCAAUCCCGGGGCGUUCUAUAUAGUUAUGUAUAAUAAUAUUUAUAUUAUUUAUGCCUCUAACUAGAGCGUACCUUGAGCAUAUAUGCUGUGACCCGAAAGA